ACUCUGACAGCCCCCCAGGAAAGUGUACAUAUUAUUAACCCAGGGCCAUUUGGAUUCCUGCCUUGAGAUUUUUCAAACUAUAGAGAUAUUUGGACUUUGAGUUUAAAAUGAACAUGAAAGACAGGACAAAGAAGAAACUGGAAACCAGGACGACAGGAUAGUAAUAUGUAAAAAAGCACAAACAAUCAUGUGUAAAGCAACAUCACUUUUGAACAUGUGUAAAAAAUUUAUACUUUUUGUAUAAUCAGCUACUAUUAAAUAGAAGAAAUGCCACAGAAA